rnacentral:lncRNA from 1 species
ACUAGGGAGCCAUACGUGUUGUUUGUGGCACCUGGUUUGGCUAGUAUGUCUGAGAAGAAAUCACUCGCAUUUACCUUGCCAGCAUCUUUGCAGGUGAAUCCAUUCACUUUAACCGCUGUUAUUACCAUCACAAUUUACAAUCCACCAACAAUAAGAAAGAAUUGUAUAUAUAUGUACUACUACCACUGUCUUUUGUUGAAUCAUAAAUUAUUAUCAUGUAAAAUAAUCUUAUUGAUUUUUAUAAUAAUUACUUCAAACAUGAAUUGAAGAUUAUUUCUGAUUAUUUAAGAUGGUAAAAGUUUUUGUUCAGUCUAUUAAACUCAAAAAAUUCACACCCAAUAAAUUGUCUAUGAAUUAAAAGUUUAGUGUAUAAAUCAUGCUACAAAAAUAUGCAAUGAUUUAUGGAAUUUGGUAAUAAGUUUAUUUGAAUUGAAAAGGACACUGUUUAUGUGGUGGUGUUUCAAUUGCAGCCAUACAGGGGAGGAGGAAGAAAAGUUAAUCAUAUGGUGGGGAUACUGCACUACAUGAUUAAACUUUUGAGUCAUUAAAAAGCAGAAUUAAAGUAGUUGGUAGGUCGAAGAGAGUGAGUUGGAUUAACGUGGUUAGAGGAUGAAAUCAAAUGAUUAAGGGGAAAAGUGGAAGUAUGCAUGAAAGUGUGCAUC